rnacentral:rRNA from 1 species
AUACGUAGGGGGCGAGCGUUGUCCGGAAUGAUUGGGCGUAAAGGGCGCGUAGGCGGCCGCUUAAGUCUGGAGUGAAAGUCCUGUUUUCAAGAUGGGAAUUGCUUUGGAUACUGGGGGGCUUGAGAGCAGGAGAGGUUAUCGGAAUUCCCGGUGUAGCGGUGAAAUGCGUAGAGAUCGGGAGGAACACCAGUGGCGAAGGCGGGUAACUGGACUGCAACUGACGCUGAGGCGCGAAAGUGUGGGGAGCAAACAGGAUUAGAUACCCUGGUAGUCCACACUGUAAACGAUGAAUGCUAGGUGUAAGAGGUAUCGACCCCUUUUGUGCCGGAGUCAACACAAUAAGCAUUCCGCCUGGGGAGUACGGCCGCAAGGUUGAAACUCAAAUGAAUUGACGGGG